GGGAAUGUGGCUUAGUGGUAGAGUGCUUGCCUAACAUGCAUGAAGCCUUGGGUCAAUUCCUCAGUACCA
rnacentral:tRNA from 1 species